GGAGGAAUGUAUAGCGAUAGCUAAUUGUAUUCAAACAUAAUGGAUACAAUAUUGACUAUGUCAAAUAAAAUUCUAGGCAGAAUUAUGAUAAUGACAUUGUCUGCCUAUGUGUCUUGACCAAAUUACGUGCCAGCAGUCGCGGUAAUACGUAGAAGACUAGUGUUAUUCAUCUUUAAUAGGUUUAAAGGGUACCUAGACGGUAAAUCAAGCCUAAAAAGGGGACUAAUUUACUAGAGUUACUUGUGAGGGGGCACUAAAGUACUGAUGGUGUAGAGAUAGAAUUCUGUAAUACCUUUUUCGUAAAGAAAGCAAUGGCACAGGUAUAGGCGAAAGCAUCCCCUUAUGUGAUAACUGACGUUGAAGGACGAAGGCUUUGUGCAGCGAACAGGAUUAGAUACCCUAGUAGUCGAAGCAGAAAAUGAUGAAUGUCAUAGAUUAGACAUAUAAGUUUAUUCUAUAAAUGAAAGUGUAAGCAUUCCACCUCAAGAGUAAUAUGGCAACAUUGGAACUGAAAUCAUUAGACCGUUUCUGAAACCAGUAGUGAAGUAUGUUGUUUAAUUUGAUGAUCCGCAAAAAACCUUACCACAACUUGAAUAUUUAUAGAUAUACCUUUUUAUUAAUAAAAAGAUUAUAGAUAUAUCUACAAGCGUUGCACGGCUGUCUUCAGUUAAUGUCGCGAGACUUUGGUUAGUUCCAUUAAAUUAACGCAAACCCUUGCUUUUUAUUUUUACAUAAAGUAGUUCCCCACUAGAUUGGAUAAGAUAACAGGGACUAAGACAAGUCAUCAUGGCCUUA
rnacentral:rRNA from 2 species